rnacentral:rRNA from 1 species
CAGUAGCCACGGGAAUACGAAGGGGGCUAGCGUUGCUCGGAAUGACUGGGCGUAAAGGGCGCGUAGGCGGUUUUGACAGUCAGAUGUGAAAUUCCUGGGCUUAACCUGGGGGCUGCAUUUGAGACGUCAAGACUAGAGUGUGAGAGAGGGUUGUGGAAUUCCCAGUGUAGAGGUGAAAUUCGUAGAUAUUGGGAAGAACACCGGUGGCGAAGGCGGCAACCUGGCUCAUUACUGACGCUGAGGCGCGAAAGCGUGGGGAGCAAACAGGAUUAGAUACCCCCGUAGUCCCUGUCUCUUAUAC